GUAUGUGUGUGUGUGUGUGUGUGUGUGUGUGUGAUAGUGAGAGAGGGAGAGAUAGAGAGAGAAAGAGAGAAAGUGCAGAUAUUGUUAUAGCAUUAAAUGUGAACACAUUCAUUCAUUCCACAGAUAAAUGAGUCUAUGUUAAUUGGUUUCUUGUGUCUCCUUGAGUUUAUAGACAACACACACACAGACCUCCAUCUCCAGUGCCCAGCUGUGUGUCCAUGAAGAGUGACCGGUCCAUGCCUUUACCUCUUAACUUCAGCAGUGAACCAGUUCCAUCAGGUCUUAAACGACACUCACACAGACCUCCAUCUCCAGUGCCCAGCUGUGUGUCCAUGAAGAGUGACCGGUCCAUGCCUUUACCUCUUAACUUCAGCAGUGAACUAGUUGCAUCCAUUCUAAAACGACACACACACAGACCUCCAUCUCCAGUGCCCAGCUGUGUGUCCAUGAAGAGUAAUCGGUCCAUGCCUUUACCUCUUAACUUCAGCAGUGAACCAGUUCCAUCAGGUCUUAAGUGAGUAGUUUUUAUAUUCAGACAUUUCAGUGAUGUCACAUGCAAUUAUUGACACA
ensembl:lncRNA